CCUACGGGAGGCAGCAGUAAGGAAUAUUGGUCAAUGGAGGCAACUCUGAACCAGCCAUGCCGCGUGCAGGAAGAAGGCCCUAUGGGUCGUAAACUGCUUUUGUACCAGAGAAAACCCGAGUACGUGUACUCGGUUGAUAGUAUGGUAAGAAUAAGCAUCGGCUAACUUCGUGCCAGCAGCCGCGGUAAGACGAAGGAUGCAAGCGUUAUCCGGAUUCAUUGGGUUUAAAGGGUGCGUAGGCGGACUGAUAAGUCAGUGGUGAAAUCUCUCGGCUUAACCGAGAAACUGCCAUUGAUACUGUUAGUCUAGAGUAUAGAUGACGUUGGCGGAAUAUGACAUGUAGUGGUGAAAUACUUAGAUAUGUCAUAGAACACCGAUUGCGAAGGCAGCUAACGAAACUAUAACUGACGCUGAGGCACGAAAGUGCGGGGAUCAAACAGGAUUAGAUACCCUGGUAGUCCGCACCGUAAACGAUGAUUACUCGUUGUUGGCAAUAUGACCGUCAGCGACCAAGCGAAAGCGAANAAGUAAUCCACCUGGGAGUACGCCGGCGAACGGUGAAACUCAAAGGAAAGUUGAGG
rnacentral:rRNA from 1 species